ACCUUCGGAAUACCCCAGAAGGGAAUUUUCUCUACUCCCCUAAUCUUCACUUUACGCCACGCCGACUCCACUUUCGUCAUAAGGCGUGGAAUUAGACCAAGGGAAAUCUCUAUAGGAACUAGUCUCUUAGAUUUCGCACAUAGGAGAUCGAGACACAGCCCCAGGGCUAUGGGGAAAGAUGUAGAUCGAUCGCCCUAGAUAGACAACUACAUAG
rnacentral:lncRNA from 1 species